UACAGAGGGGGCAAGCGUUAUUCGGAAUUAUUGGGCGUAAAGGGCGCGUAGGCGGCCCGGCAAGUGGAAGGUGAAAUCCCUCGGCUCAACCGAGGAACUGCCUUCCAAACUGCCUGGGCUUGAGUCCGGGAGAGGUGAGUGGAAUUCCCAGUGUAGCGGUGAAAUGCGUAGAUAUUGGGAGGAACACCAGUGGCGAAGGCGGCUCACUGGACCGGAACUGACGCUGAGGCGCGAAAGCGUGGGGAGCAAACGGG
rnacentral:rRNA from 1 species